rnacentral:rRNA from 1 species
UACGGGAGGCAGCGUGGGGAAUAUUGCACAAUGGGCGCAAGCCUGAUGCAGCCAUGCCGCGUGUAUGAAGAAGGCCUUCGGGUUGUAAAGUACUUUCAGUCGUGAGGAAGGUGUUAAGGUUAAUAACCUUAGCAAUUGACGUUAGCGACAGAAGAAGCACCGGCUAACUCCGUGCCAGCAGCCGCGGUAAUACGGAGGGUGCGAGCGUUAAUCGGAAUUACUGGGCGUAAAGGGCACGCAGGCGGUUAAUUAAGUUGGAUGUGAAAUCCCCGGGCUUAACCUGGGAAUGGCAUUCAAGACUGGUUAGCUAGAGUCUUGUAGAGGGGGUAGAAUUCCAUGUGUAGCGGUGAAAUGCGUAGAGAUGUGGAGGAAUACCGGUGGCGAAGGCGGCCCCUGGACAAAGACUGACGCUCAUGUGCGAAAGCGUGGGGAGCAAACAGGGAUUAGAUACC